AGUGAACGCUGGCGGUAGGCCUAACACAUGCAAGUCGAACGGCAGCACAGUAAGAGCUUGCUCUUACGGGUGGCGAGUGGCGGACGGGUGAGGAAUACAUCGGAAUCUACUUUUUCGUGGGGGAUAACGUAGGGAAACUUACGCUAAUACCGCAUACGACCUACGGGUGAAAGCAGGGGAUCUUCGGACCUUGCGCGAUUGAAUGAGCCGAUGUGGGAUUAGCUAGUUGGGGGGGUAAAGGCCCACCAAGGCGACGAUCCGUAGCUGGUCUGAGAGGAUGGUCAGCCACACUGGAACUGAGCCACGGUCCAGACUCCUACGGGAGGCAGCAGUGGGGAAUAUUGGACAAUGGGCGCAAGCCUGAUCCAGCCAUACCGCGUGGGUGAAGAAGGCCUUCGGGUUGUAAAGCCCUUUUGUUGGGAAAGAAAAGCAGCAGGUUAAUACCCCGCUGUUCUGACGGUACCCAAAGAAUAAGCACCGGCUAACUUCGUG
rnacentral:rRNA from 1 species